GGACUACUCGGGUUUCUAAUCCCGUUCGCUACCCUGGCCUUCGUGUUUCAGCGUCAGGUUCUGCCCAGAGUCUUGCUUUCGCUAUAAGUGUUCCUCUCGAUAUCUACGCAUUUCACUGCUACACCGAGAAUUCCAGACUCCUCUACAGACCUCCAGCAUGACAGUAUCGGGUGCUGUUCGGGGGUUGAGCCCCCGGAUUUCACACCUGACUUUUCACGCCGCCUACACACCCUUUACGCCCAGUGAUUCCGAACAACGCUUGAGACCUCUGUAUUACCGCGGCUGCUGGCAC
rnacentral:rRNA from 1 species